rnacentral:tRNA from 1 species
GAAAAUGUGGCUUAGUGGUAGAGCACUUGCCUAGGAUGCAUGAAGCCUGGGUUCGAUUCCUCAGUACCA